GGAGUUAGCCGGUGCUUCUUCUGCGAGUAACGUCACAGAUGUAAGGUAUUAACUUACACCCUUUCCUCCUCGCUGAAAGUGCUUUACAACCCGAAGGCCUUCUUCACACACGCGGCAUGGCUGCAUCAGGGUUUCCCCCAUUGUGCAAUAUUCCCCACUGCUGCCUCCCGUAGGAGUCUGGGCCGUGUCUCAGUCCCAGUGUGGCUGAUCAUCCUCUCAGACCAGCUAGGGAUCGUCGCCUAGGUGAGCCUUUACCUCACCUACUAGCUAAUCCCACCUGGGCUUAUCCAUCAGCGCAAGGCCCGAAGGUCCCCUGCUUUCCCCCGUAGGGCGUAUGCGGUAUUAGCAGUCGUUUCCAACUGUUAUCCCCCACAAAUGGGCAAAUUCCCAGGCAUUACUCCACCCGUCCGCCGCUCGUCACUCUUACAAACGACACGUCUUUAGUAAUAGUUACCGUCUCGUACUUCGCAUGUGUUAGGUCCGUCGCCGCCGACGCGUUACUACUCUGAGCCGAGACUACAACUACUGACGUACGACGGCGGGCGUCGGACGACGGCGCGACUA
rnacentral:rRNA from 1 species